CGAAGAUCAUUGAGAACUCGCAGAAGAUGUACCACGAGCAGUUUACCACCCUUAGUUCAACAGAAGUCCAGGAGUACAAGUCCUACCUGUUACAGCACAUGUUCAUAGCUCACAUCCUGGAGCAGAGACUGGUCAAUCUGAAAGAAUACGCCCCAGUCAAAUAUCAGGAACUCUACGACAGGAUGUUGAAAGACAAGAGACUGGAACCUUUCCUUAUCUAGGUUUUUUUCUACCCAAGUUGGGUUUUAACAAGAAACACUCUCCAGAAGUCGCAAUUUUUUAUAGUUCUUAAAAUUUUGACCUGUUUCUUUGUUUUUAAAUAACGAGAAUUUUAGAUUUCAUAGUAAAACUGUGAAUCGAAAACAAAUGUUUAAACUUUUACACAAUAACAGUUAUUGCUCGAACUAUC
rnacentral:sRNA from 1 species